ensembl:lncRNA
CAGACCUAAACCAGGACUAAACCAGAACUAAACCAGGACUAAACCAGGACUAAACCAGAACUAAACCAGGACUAAACCAGGACUAAACCAGGACUAAACCAGGACUAAACCAGGACUAAACCAGGACUAAACCAGAACUAAACCAGAACUAAACCAGGACUAAACCAGGUCUAAACCAGGACUAAACCAGGACUAAACCAGGACUAAACCAGGACUAAACCAGGAGUAAACCAGGACUAAACCAGGACUAAACCAGGACUAAACCAGAACUAAACCAGGACUAAACCAGGACUAAACCAGGAGUAAACCAGGACUAAACCAGGACUAAACCAGAACUAAACCAGAACUAAACCAGGACUAAACCAGGACUAAACCAGGUCUAAACCAGGACUAAACCAGGUCUAAACCAGGACUAAACCAGGACUAAACCAG